rnacentral:piRNA from 1 species
UUCAAACACUAUUGUUUUGAUAAAGGAAC